AGUGAACGCUGGCGGCGUGCUUAACACAUGCAAGUCGAACGAGAACGGGUUAUAGCUUGCUAUAAUUGUCAGCUAAGUGGCGCACGGGUGAGUAAUGUAUAGGUAAUAUGCCUCUUACUAAGGGAUAACAAAUGGAAACGUUUGCUAAUACCUUAUACUCCUUAUUAACAGAAGUUAAUAAGGGAAAGAUUUAUUGGUAAGAGAUUAGCCUGUAUUGUAUCAGUUAGUUGGUGGGGUAAUGGCUUACCAAGACUAUGACACAUAACUGGUUUGAGAGGAUGAUCAGUCACACUGGAACUGAUACACGGUCCAGACUCCUACGGGAGGCAGCAGUGUGGAAUAUUGCACAAUGGACGAAAGUCUGAUGCAGCAACGCCGCGUGGAGGAUGACACAUUUCGGUGCGUAAACUCCUUUUAUAUAAGAAGAUAAUGACGGUAUUAUAUGAAUAAGCACCGGCUAACUCCGUGCCAGCCGCCGCGGUAA
rnacentral:rRNA from 1 species